GCGGGCGUAGCCAAGUGGUUAAGGCACCGGGUUGUGGUCCCGGCAUUCGGGGGUUCAAGUCCCCUCGCUCGCCCCU
rnacentral:tRNA from 1 species